AUUGAACGCUGGCGGCAUGCCUUACACAUGCAAGUCGAACGGCAGCACGGGGCAACCUGGUGGCGAGUGGCGAACGGGUGAGUAAUGCAUCGGAACGUACCUUUCAGUGGGGGAUAACGUUGCGAAAGUUACGCUAAUACCGCAUAUUCUGUGAGCAGGAAAGCAGGGGAUCGCAAGACCUUGCGCUGAUUGAGCGGCCGAUGUCAGAUUAGCUAGUUGGUGAGGUAAAGGCUCACCAAGGCGACGAUCUGUAGCGGGUCUGAGAGGAUGAUCCGCCACACUGGAACUGAGACACGGUCCAGACUCCUACGGGAGGCAGCAGUGGGGAAUUUUGGACAAUGGGGGCAACCCUGAUCCAGCCAUGCCACGUGAGUGAAGAAGGCCUUCGGGUUGUAAAGCUCUUUCGGCCGGGAAGAAAUCGCACGGGCUAAUACCCUGUGUGGAUGACGGUACCGGAAUAAGAAGCACCGGCUAACUACGUGCCAGCCGCCGCAGUAACAC
rnacentral:rRNA from 1 species